AUUGAACGCUGGCGGCAGGCCUAACACAUGCAAGUCGAGCGGAGCGGCGGACGGGUGAGUGAUGCCUAGGAAUCUGCCUGGUAGUGGGGGAUAACGUACGGAAACGGGCGCUCAUACCGCAUAAUAUCAGAUGAGCCUAGGUCGGAUUAGCUAGUUGGUGGGGUAAAGGCCUACCAAGGCGACGAUCCGUAACUGGUCUGAGAGGCUGCGCAGUCACACUGGAAAUGAGACGCGGUCCGAACUCCAACGGUAGGCAUCAGUGGGGAAUAUUGGACAAUGGGCGAAAGCCUGAUCCAGCCCGGCCGCGUGUGUGAAGAAGGUCUUCGGAUUGUAAGGCACUUUAAGUUGGGAGGCGUUACCAACAGAAUAAGCACCGGCUAACUUCGUGCCAGCAGCCGCGGUAAUAC
rnacentral:rRNA from 1 species